AGAAAAUGAAGAGAUGCAUGCAUAAUAGCUGAAAAUCCUUUUGUGAAGUUGUAAGGAUGAACUGAUACUACACUGAAUAUUGCUAUAAACCAUGGA